AUUGAACGCUGGCGGCAGGCCUAACACAUGCAAGUCGAACGAGUGGCGGACGGGUGAGUAAUGUCUGGGAAACUGCCCGAUGGAGGGGGAUAACUACUGGAAACGGUAGCUAAUACCGCAUACCAUCGGAUGUGCCCAGAUGGGAUUAGGUAGUAGGGGGGGGAUCGGCUCACCUGGGGGACGAUCCCUAGCUGGUCUGAGAGGAUGACCGGCCACACUGGAACUGAGACACGGACCAGACGCCUACGGGAGGCAGCAGUGGGGAAUAUUGCGCAAUGGGCGCAAGCCUGAUGCAGCCAUGCCGCGUGUAUGAAGAAGGCCUUCGGGUUGUAAAGUACUUUCAUCAGGGAGGCGUUACUCGCAGAAGAAGCACCGGCUAACUCCGUGCCAGCCGCCGCGGUAAUAC
rnacentral:rRNA from 1 species